rnacentral:rRNA from 1 species
CGGAUCUCGAAAGCCUGUCCCAGUUCGGACUGGAGUCUGCAACCCGACUCCACGAAGUUGGAUUCGCUAGUAAUCGCGCAUCAGCCAUGGCGCGGUGAAUACGUUCCCGGGCCUUGUACACACCGCCCGUCAAGCCAUGGGAGCCGGGGGCGCCUGAAGUCCGGGACCGCGAGGACCGGCCUAGGGCGAAACUGGUAACUGGGGCUAAGUCGUAACAAGGUAAC